rnacentral:ncRNA from 1 species
GUGGAUAGAGGUUGCAUUUUUCAAAAGUAUGAUGCUGGAUGCCCCAGGGGCAGUAGAAGGUAGCAGAAAGGGAAAAGUGCCGAAAGGAUAUAACACCUGGAGUUAUAUUUCUUGGGCGUGGCAUUAAGAAUGGCACGACUGUCAUCGUAUGAUGGGGUGCUAUCUUA